UUCUGGAAUAUCUAUUGAGCAAUUGACCAAAGAUUGUAGCAAGUAGUGCUUCUAAACAAUCUCAAGAUUCUUAAGUUGCUUUAAUUGGUAUGAUCUGAAUUUCCAAUGUAUUCCACAAACACACAACCUCAGUCAGUUAUGAUCAUGGCAAUACAUUGAAAAAUUGAAUAAAAAACUUACUAAACUCAAUUUAAAGAUUUCAUACAAAUAAGGGCAUCUAUCUCCUACUGAGCUCAAACUAAAGAAGGUCAAGCAAAAAAUGCA
rnacentral:lncRNA from 1 species